GGAGGCGUGGCCGAGCGGCUUAAGGCAACGGAUUGCUAAUCCGUCGGGGUUCAUAGCCCCACACAGGUUCGAAUCCUGUCGCCUCCG
rnacentral:tRNA from 1 species